rnacentral:lncRNA from 1 species
GGAGCAAUAGUAUAAGGACAAAAACAAAAGAAAUGAAGGGAAAAAAGUAAAUGAACAUAAUGGAAGGAUCACUUUCCACAAUUUCUAUUCACCAUCUUCUACUUCUUUACACGAGUGCCACCUUUAAAAAACUAUAUCACCACAGAAUAACUCAAAAAAAAUAAAACUCAGUAAUCAAUGAGCAAGAUCCAAUGACAUUUUUCAACCAAAGAAACACAAGCCGUACUUCCCUAUCCCCCACCUAUUUUUCUUUGUAGUUUUAAUUUACAUCUUUGAAUUUUUCUGAAAUUAUAGAGGUGUUUUUGUUGAGUUGCCAUCAGGUUCAUUACUACUAUCACUGGUGAUCCGCUUUGAUUCCCCAUCUUCGUGUACCUCAUCAAGAACAUCAGAAGCUGUUUCCCAUUUUCUGCUGCUUUGUUCCCACAAGGACUGCCUUAGAAAGGAAGCAACUUGUCUCUGUCCCCUUUCUGUGUGAAGCAUACUGCCUAAAUCCACAGAUGUAUCACUUAAAUCACUACUCUUGCCAUAUUCCUCGUCUUUAUAAUCUUUUUCCACCUCAUCAGCCUCAUUGUAAACGGGCAUCAUAAGGGUAUCAACACCUCUUCGUCUAGAUGAUUCUGUUGGUUCUCUUGGAACCUUGGACCUGAAACUGUUUUUGGAUAUGGGAAUGGAAGAGCAGAAUACUUCUUUGAAGUUCUCAAUUACCCCUUUGUUAUAAGGGUUGACUUGCCGGUCAUACCGGUAUCUAAAAUUUUCAUAAGUAGACUG